rnacentral:rRNA from 1 species
AGAGUUUGAUCCUGGCUCAGAAUCAACGCUGGCGGCGUGCCUAACACAUGCAAGUCGAACGAGAAAGGGGAGCAAUCCCUGAGUAAAGUGGCGACCGGGUGAGUAACACGUGACUACCUGCCCUUGAGUGGGGGAUAACCUCGGGAAACCGAGGCUAAUACCGCAUAAUAUCGCAAGAUCAAAGGAGCAAUCCGCUUUUGGAGGGGGUCGCGGCUGAUUAGCUAGUUGGUAAGGUAACGGCUUACCAAGGCGACGAUCGGUAUCCGGCCUGAGAGGGCGCACGGACACACUGGAACUGAAACACGGUCCAGACUCCUACGGGAGGCAGCAGUGGGGAAUUUUGCGCAAUGGGGGAAACCCUGACGCAGCAACGCCGCGUGGAGGAUGAAGCCCCUUGGGGCGUAAACUCCUUUCGACUGGGAAGAUUAUGACGGUACCAGUGGAAGAAGCACCGGCUAACUCUGUGCCAGCAGCCGCGGUAAUACAGAGGGUGCGAGCGUUGUUCGGAAUUAUUGGGCGUAAAGGGCGCGUAGGCGGUACGGUAAGUCACCUGUGAAAUCCCCGGGCUCAACUCGGGGCCUGCAGGCGAAACUGCCGUGCUGGAGGGUGGGAGAGGUGCGUGGAAUUCCCGGUGUAGCGGUGAAAUGCGUAGAUAUCGGGAGGAACACCUGUGGCGAAAGCGGCGCACUGGACCACUACUGACGCUGAUGCGCGAAAGCUAGGGGAGCAAACAGGAUUAGAUACCCUGGUAGUCCUAGCCCUAAACGAUGAUUGCUUGGUGUGAUCGGUACCCAAUCCGAUCGUGCCGCAGCUAACGCGAUAAGCAAUCCGCCUGGGGAGUACGGUCCCAAGGCUGAAACUCAAAGGAUUGACGAGGGCCCGCACAAGCGGUGGAGCAUGGGUUCAAUUCGACGCACG